rnacentral:misc_RNA from 1 species
GAGGAUUUUGAGCAGGUCUUCCUUAGACCAACCAAGUUGACUUUCAAAUAAUGGAUUUCUGGAUAUAUCAAGGGUGGAUCAAGCUUUGGAGCUAAGAAAUGAUCUCCCAUUUUGUGUUUCUGAUUAGCAAACAAUCUGCUUCUCUACAUCUUGCAUUCCAACACUUGCCUUUAAUACUGUCUUUAACAUACUUAGCCUUCUCAGGCUGAUGUACCGGACUUCUUCAAUGAAUCCUUGGAGUUUCUCUAUCUUCACCCUUCUAUACUUGUGCGCUGCUUUUGAAUCCAUAAGCUGUGCAUCCAACAACUCUUCUUCUUCCUUGGAUAAAAUUGUUCUCAACUGCGGAUCUGCUGGGUCCUUUUCAUUUAAUGGAAAAAACUGGACUGGUGAUGUAGGCUCCAGCUUCUUGCCUGCCGAUUAUCAGAGAAGUUCGAUUUCUGUACCAUUAACACUGAUUAAUGGUGAAGUUCCCAAGAUUCCAUACUCUACUGCACGCGUCUCUCGUUUUAAUUUCACCUAUGCUUUUCCUCUUUCCCCUGGUUUCAAAUUCAUCCGCCUUCACUUCUAUCCGGCUUCCUACGCCACCCUAAAAAGCAUCACCGACGCUGAUUUCUCUGUGGUCUCGGGUCGUUACACUCUGCUAAACAAUUUUAGCCCUUCUGUUAUGGCAGAUACUUUGGAAUUAGUUUACUUCACUAAAGAUUUUGUUAUUAACUUGUGGGAGAACCUAUUGAAUAUCACUUUUAUCCCAUCAUCCGGAGCUUAUGCCUUUGUCAAUGGUAUAGAAAUUUACAACUUUCCAGCCAAUUUCUACAAUUAUACUUAUAAUCAGAUAUCUCUUCACCAUGAGCCAGCCUUUGAGAUGCUUCAUAGAGUCAAAGUGGGGCGUCACGACGCUUUUUCUGAUGACCUCUGGGAGUGGCUAGAUGACUCCAGCUAUAUAAUGGGAUCUAUGAGCGGCACUGUCAUUUUUACGGAUGAUGAAAUCACUGGGGAACCUUGGAACAUGGGGGACUACGCCGCUCCCAUAUAUCUAUAUGAUUCAGCCCGGACGAUGGGCAGCGAUGAUGCUAUUAACAUGAGCUACAACCUGACUUGGACAUUUCUUGUAGAUUCUGGUUUCAAAUAUCUUGUUAGGCUUCAUCUUUGUGAGAUUUCACAUGAGGUAACAGGGGUGAAUCAGAGAGUGUUCACUGUUUAUAUUAACAACCAGACGGUAGAGGACAGUUUGGAUGUAAUUGCUUUGGCAGGAGCACCACUUGUGGCAAUUUAUAGAGACUACACCAUUGUGGUUCCAGAAGGGAUAGGAGGGAAGCAGAAACUGUGGCUAGCCCUGCAUCCAAACCCAGAAUCAAGUCCCAAAUUUGAGAAUGCAAUACUAAAUGGAGUUGAGAUCAUGAAACUUAGCGAUGAGAAUAACAAUCUUGCUCCAUAUUUUGAACCAAGAUUCGGAAAAAGAAAGAAGAUUCGAGUCAGUGUCGUCCUUGAAGCCGUUUUAGGUUGCCUUGGUGGAAUCUUUGUAUCUUGUUUAGCUGUAUACCAGUGGACAAAAAGGAAUUCUUCCUGUUUCGAAGUCUCACAACUGCACCCAAUAUCCCGUGACCACAGGAAAUCAAAUAUGCCAGUGCUAAGAUCAUCUUCCCUCUGCCGCGAGUUCACAUUAGCAGACGUCAGGGUGGCCACCAAAAAUUUCAGUGAAGUUCUUGUGAUUGGUGUGGGUGGUUUCGGCAAGGUUUACAAGGGUUCGAUAGACGGCGGAGCUACCCAAGUUGCCAUCAAGCGCAAAAGUCCGGAGUCCCACCAAGGGCUACAGGAGUUUCAAACUGAAAUUGAUUUGCUCUCAACAUUUCGUCAAUUGAACCUGGUUUCCUUACUCGGCUUCUGCCAAGAGAACAAUGAAUUCAUUCUAGUCUACGAUUACAUGGCCGGUGGAACUCUCCGUGAUCAUCUCUACAAGAGACGCCAUCCACCAUUAUCAUGGAAUCAAAGGCUCAAGAUUUGCAUUGGUGCUGCUCGAGGAUUACACUAUCUUCAUACCGGCACAAAACAUUCAAUUAUACACCGUGACAUCAAGUCUACCAAUAUAUUGUUGGAUGAGGAUUUGGAGGCCAAGGUCUCGGAUUUCGGACUGUCGAGGUUAGGCCCCACUACAGCAUCAAGCAGUUAUGUAAACACUGACGUUAAGGGUACUCUGGGAUAUCUGGAUCCUGAAUACUAUCGAAGUAGAAAGCUAAGUAGUAAAUCAGAUGUCUACUCUUUUGGCGUGGUGUUGCUUGAAGUGCUAUGUGCAAGACCAGUGGUGGUGGAAGAAGAGGAAUAUAAGGUUAGCUUGGCCGAAUGGGCCUUACGUUGCCAUGGAAGUGGUAACUUUGGUUGUAUCAUCGAUCCACUUCUAAGAGGAAAAAUUGCUCCUGGGUCUCUCAUCACAUUCAUGGAAAUUACGGUAAAGUGCUUGGCUGAUCGACGAACUCAGAGGCCAUCGAUAGGAGAUGUGCUACACAGUCUGGAAUUGUCAUUGCACGUACAAGAGAGCACAGAUGCCACGGUGGAUUUGGAAGAUCAUUACUCACACCGAAUGUAUACAACGGUAAUUUAAAAUGAUGAUGAGACUUGUCUAAAAAUAUAAUAAAUGG